AAUAAGUGUAGUUUUAUACUAUUUAUGUUCAACGUUUGACCGUCCGUCUUAUUUGAAAAAUUUGUGAAAAAAUUAAAAACAUUUAGUCACACAUAAAGUACUAUUCAUGUUUUAUUAUCUAAUAGCAAUAAAAAUACUAAUCAUAAAAAAUUUUCAAAUAAGACGGACGGUUAAACGUUGAACAUGAAUAGUGCAAAACUGCACUUAUU
rnacentral:pre_miRNA from 1 species